GCCAGCGUGAUGCAGUGGUUUGAACAUUGGACUAUGACUCUGAAGACCAGGGUUUGAAUCCCAGCUCUGCCA